GACGUAGGGCGCGAGCGUUGUCCGGAUUUAUUGGGCGUAAAGAGCUCGUAGGCGGCUUGUCGCGUCGUCUGUGAAAACCCGCGGCUCAACUGCGGGCCUGCAGUCGAUACGGGCAGGCUAGAGUUCGGUAGGGGAGACUGGAAUUCCUGGUGUAGCGGUGAAAUGCGCAGAUAUCAGGAGGAACACCGGUGGCGAAGGCGGGUCUCUGGGCCGACACUGACACUGAGGAGCGAAAGCCAGGGGAGCAAACGGG
rnacentral:rRNA from 1 species